rnacentral:lncRNA from 1 species
GACUCCAAGAUCACAACCUGAGCUGAAGGCAGAUGCUCAACUGCUGAGCCACUCAGGCGUCCCCAAAAUUUUAUUUAAGUAAUCUCUGCACCUAAUGUGGGACUCAAACUCACAACCAUGAUAUCAAGAAUUGCAUGCUUUACCUUCUGAACCAGCCAGGUGCCCCCCACUCAAAGAGAUAAAUCAGAGUGGCCAUAAGGGUAACCUACUUUGGAGCUCUAAUGAUUGGAGGGAAGGUGAGAAACAGCAGUGCUUUUGACACCGUGUCCUGGAGACUAGUGUUAUGAAGGCUUUAUGGGCUUGUUUUGAAGUUGUUUAGUCUUGACGUCAACUACUAUAAAGCCAGUGGGAAAGCCCAGGGAUCAGAAGGACUAAAUGUUACUUCACAGAAGCUAACUUAGAAUCUCUUUCUAAAUGUGAAUGGGACCUGGGGAAGAGAGAAGAAAGGGAGGACUGCUAUGAAUAAAGCAACCAAAUGAGCAUUAGGUCCAAAUACAACUAAGUGCCUGAGGAGAGGGGGCAAUGGAGAGAAGGCUGACAAUUGAGGUCAUAUUGACCUUGCAAGAUCCUCUUUAAAAUGAAGAGGCAAUGGUGCCCCCUGGUGGCUAUGGGUAAGCUGGGGGUGAGGGGAAUGCAAUCCAAACUUCAACUUAAACUGCCUGUAUCAGUAAUAGCUAAAAUUUAUACUUACAGGGAUGCCCAGGUGACUCAGCAGUUGAGCAUCUGCCUUUGGCUCAGGGCCUUAUCCCAGAGUCCUGGGAUUGAGUCCCACAUCGGGCUCCCCAAAUGGAGCCUGCUUCUCCCUUUGCCUGUCUCUGCCUCUCAUGAGUAAAUAAAUAAAAUCUUUAAAAAAAAAAAAUGUAUACUUACAAUUUUCAGGUACUAUAUAAAUAUGGUACACCCAUUAUCUUAAAAUUAAUCCUCACAACAAGUCUAAGGGAUGUAGGUAAUAGUAUCUUUACAGAGGAGGAAACCAAGGUUUAAAGUAUCCAGCUAAGGAUUAUAGUUCAUAAUUGGCCAGAAGCUGUAUCUUAACUACUAAGCUGUAUUGUUUUUAUGGUGAUGAAUGUGAAUUAUCAGCUGCAACUCAGGAUGGGGACUUCUGAGUCAUUGUUAACUGCCUCCUGGGCACAUCAGCUCAAUGUGUUCUAUAUUUUUGUGUGUGUGUGUGUGUUCUAUAUUUUUAAACAUUUUAUAAAAUAAAAACUAUAGUCUUACUUAUCUGUAAAACCUUUGUACAUCCAUACCUGAAAUAAAGGUAUGAGAGACGAACAUUUAGCACCUAAAGUGACCAAGGAGUAGGAUAGAUUUCUUCAAUGAAUAAUCCGUCUGGAGAGAUAGCUGAAAGUUGGAUAGAAUGCCUUUUCACUAUUGAUUAUUAGAGUCAGAGGGCAUGUGUCCAAACUUAGAGGUAGUUUUCAAACAAAAGUACUAGUGUACACAGACACUGGGGACUACAUGGAGAAUCCACUACAGGGAAUGAGAUAUAACAGACCAGUGGCCUAGGGAUAAGACGAUCACUAAGUCUUGGCUCAUGGAAGUCUUGACUCCCCAUGACACAACCUCUUUGAGCUUAGUUUCUUCAUCUGUAAAAUGGGAAUAACAUCUACUUCUUAGAACUGUUAAGAUUAAAUAAAGUAUAUGUGCUUGUUAUGAAUAUUCACCAUAUACUAGUUCCUUUGCCCUUCCUAGUCAUCCCUGUCCUAUAUUUAAAGGACUCUUAUCCCUCCUCUUAAUCCUCUUUAACAGCAUAAAAACUCUCUAAAACUUAUUUUUAUUUUUUGUUAAAGAUUUUAUUUGAAAGAGUAAGCAAGAGAGAGAGAAGCAGGCUCCUCGUUGUGCAGGAAGCCCAAUGCAGGGCUUGACCCAGGACCCUGGGAUCAUGACCUGAGCCGAAGGUAGAUGUUCAACUGACUGAGCCACCCAGGUGCCCCUAAAACUUAUUUUUAAAGGACUAGAUUUUCACAUAAUAAAUUUUCUUAGUCACAUCCAGAUCUCAUUGUAUACUGUCUUUGAGAAUGUUUCUUUAAGUUCUAACAUUUU